rnacentral:rRNA from 1 species
UACGUAGGCAGCAAGCGUUGUUCGGAAUUACUGGGCGUAAAGCGUGCGCAGGCGGUUCUCCAAGUCCGUUGUGAAAGCCCCGGGCUCCAACCCUGGGAAUGGCAGUGGAAACUAGGGGACUGGAAUCUGGCAGAGGGGGUGGAAUGCCGCGGUGUAGCAGUGAAAUGCGUAGAGAGUGCGGCGGAACACCGAUGGCGAAGGCAGCCCCCUGGGCUGAGAUUGACGCGCUCGAGGCACGAAAG